rnacentral:rRNA from 1 species
AUUGAACGCUGGCGGCAGGCCUAACACAUGCAAGUCGAACGGUAGCACAGAGAGCUUGCUCUCGGGUGACGAGUGGCGGACGGGUGAGUAAUGUCUGGGAAACUGCCUGAUGGAGGGGAAUAACUACUGGAAACGGUAGCUAAUACCGCAUAACGUCGCAAGACCAAAGUGGGGGACCUUCGGGCCUCACACCAUCGGAUGUGCCCAGAUGGGAUUAGCUAGUAGGUGGGGUAAUGGCUCACCUAGGCGACGAUCCCUAGCUGGUCUGAGAGGAUGACCAGCCACACUGGAACUGAGACACGGUCCAGACUCCUACGGGAGGCAGCAGUGGGGAAUAUUGCACAAUGGGCGCAAGCCUGAUGCAGCCAUGCCGCGUGUAUGAAGAAGGCCUUCGGGUUGUAAAGUACUUUCAGCGGGGAGGAAGGCGGUGGAGUUAAUAACUUCACCGAUUGACGUUACCCGCAGAAGAAGCACCGGCUAACUCCGUGCCAGCCGCCGCAGUAA